rnacentral:lncRNA from 10 species
GCUGGAUUUGGUUUGCUGACUCCUGGGACAGAAGACAGACUGAAGGAUGUCUGAGGAAAUGAAUGAGUAAAAGCCACCAUUUUUGUUUGGUGGAGAGCUGGAUUUGGUUUGCUGACUCCUGGGACAGAAGACAGACUGAAGGAUGUCUGAGGAAAUGAAUGAGUAAAAGUCACCAUUUUUGUUUUGUAAGUCUUUGCUAUAGCAGAAGCAUUUUUUGUUUUGUUUUGUUUUGUUUUUAAAGAAAGCU